GGCAUGCUUCUGUAAACCUAGCUACUCAGGAGGCUGAGGUGGGAGGAUCACUUGAGCUGAAGAGUUUGAGGUCACAGUGUGCUAUGAUGGCGCCACUGCACUCCAGCCUGGGCGACAGAGCGAGACCCUAUUUGUGUGUGUGUGUGUGUGUGU